AUCUAUGGCCAUACCACCCGAAUGUACCCAAUCUUGUCUGCUCUUGGAAUCUAAACAGGGUCGGACCUGGUUAGUGUUUGGAUGGGAGAAAUUCACCUACUCUGGGCU
rnacentral:rRNA from 1 species